rnacentral:lncRNA from 1 species
AAGCUUUCAAACAGAACUCCUUUCAAACAUUUUCCUAGCUCGGACAAACAUCAAUCAAGCAAUUUUUCUAGCAAAAUUUCUUGUAACAAAACAAUUCCAACAAGAAUUGUUGGAAUCGUAGCAACAUAGAAUUUUGCGGUUCUAAAGAAGUACGGUGCAAUCUUUUUCAAGAAUAUCAAAUGAAAUUUUUCCCUACUCCAGGUAUGUUAAGGCUUAGCCCUUCCUUCAUUUUGGCAUGAUCUCGUCAUUAUACAAGUUUGAUAACGAGGCAUAAAGAAAAAUUCGUAUACCGAAACUUGCGUAUAUUUUUCUAGUCUCGCAAGUUACGUAUAUUUUACUUAAUUUUAAUCCAAAAAAAAAAAAUUCUUCGUAAGGUCAGGAAAUAUAUCAAAACUUUAUGAAGAAUAUAAUCUCAUUGAAGAUUCAUAAUCUUUAACUUUCGACAGAACAAAAAGUAGUAAUCUUUACAUGUCAUCUCAUUAAAACAUCACGAAUCUCUUUCUUGCACUUACUUUCGAGGUAAAAUAUCAAAAUUAAUUUUGGACGUUUUGUUCAACUUUUGUUACACUAUUUCUAUUGUCACAUUUUUUUUGAAAUAUAAGGGGAAGGGAGAUAAUAUAAGAAGAGAAAAAGGGAAAGGAAAAUAAAUGGGACCUAAAUAACAUGAGGUUGAAAUUAGUCUCCAAGAGCCACACAACUAAGUAAUGGGAUUUUUGUUUAGUGAUUUGAUUUCUCGUAUAGUUGAAUCUCCAUCGAUUGGGACUAUGUCCAAUAAUAAAACAAUGGAGAUAUGGGCAUUAGUUACAAUAUUCUCAUUAUCAAGAUUUCAUAUUCAAUUGAGUAUUUCUUUCUUCCAGUCAAGAGAGUAGAGAGUCUAUAUAUAUAGUAUUAAAAGUAUUUUCAUUACCAUCGAGCUAUAAUCGAUGGGCAGACCCCUAUUGGGCAACCUCUGAUCAGAUGGUAAGUUAUAUGACGAUCCUACUGUGGCCGAGUGCAUAUGGGCGAGCCCAGUUGGUCGAGAUACAGAGCCUAGUAUGGCCGCGCGCUUAUGAGCGAGCCUACUACGGCAGAGCAGAUAUAUAUGUAUACCGAGCCUUAUAGGGUCGGACAUCUAUUUUACUUACUAUAUUGAGAGAAUUGAGUCAGUAUUAUAAGAUGAGCAUAUCCUCGAGUUUUCUUUGACUCCCAGUUGUUCUCAGUUGUUAUAUUAUCGGUUCAGUUUCAGCUUUCAGUAUAUUGCCUUACAUACUCGGUACAUUAUUUCGUACUGACGUCCCUUUCUGGGGACGCUGCAUUUCAUGCAUGCAGGGUCAGACAGAUAGACGGGUAGACCUCCUCAGUAGGUGUUGCCCGAGAUCA